rnacentral:snRNA from 1 species
ACUUUUUGGAUAUGUGAAACUCG